AUGGGGGAUGUUGGCGACCCAUCUAUCAUAAUGGAGUUGGCUUUGAAGCCCGCUGGAGAAGCACUGAGCUUGGCACCGGUCGAUCCGCAGCCAUCUACAGGAAAAGAAGGUGCUGAUGUCCCCGGAUGGACAAGAAGGGUCAGGAUUGGGCAAGCCCCCGAGCGUGUUCCUUGUGCUGGGAGGGUGUGUGCCCUCGAAAAAACACUAAGAGGAUAUGCAGAAAACAAAGGUGAUACAGUUGUGGUUCCAGUGGUUGGAUAUAAUUUCGAUUCGUUGGGAGAAGCAUACGACUUCUACAAUCUAUACUCUUGGGAAAUCGGUUUCGGUAUAAGAUACGGCAAAAGCCGUCUAAAUGUUGAGAGAACCAAGUGUAUGCAGGAAAUAGUUUGUGGAUGUUCAGGCAAACCAAAGAGAGGGAAUACACGGACCUGCCGCUGCGAGUGCCCUGCAAUGAUUCGUUUGCUUCGAUCCAAUGACAAUGGCUUGUAUAUAAGUGAGCACCGGCCAUCGCACAACCACGCUUUGACAGAUAAGUGUGGCGAAAAGGUAUACUGGCCUUCACAUAAGCAUAUUGAUCUAUAUACAAGAGACCUUGUGAAGCAGCUUAGAGAAAACAAUAUUAGCAUUGGGAAAGUUCAUAACAUACUUGGUAGUUUCUUUGGAUCAAUGAAUAAUCAGCCUUUCACAAAAAGGGCUUUGAGGGGACUCUGUGGUGAAAUCAGCCGAGACCAAGCAGACGAUGACGUCCGAAAAACUAUGGAUGUCUUUGCAGAAUUGGGUUCAAAAGAUGCUGGCUUGUAUUACAGAGUUCAACCUGACAGUGAUAGCCGGAUAAGGAAUUUACUUUGGUCAACAGGUGCAAGCAGGAUGCAGUACCACUAUUUUGGAGAUGCAAUAACAUUUGACACAACAUAUAGAACAAACCUAUAUGAUAUACCAUUCAGACUUUUUGUUGGAGUAAACAACCACUUCCAAAGCAUUAUCUUUGGUGGUGUUCUUGUCAGGGAUGAGACAUCAGAAACUUUCGAGUGGGUGUUCAAUGAAUUCAUCCGCAUGAUGGGUGGCAAGCAUCCCCAGACCAUACUUACAGAUCAAUGCUGGGCUAUGGAGCUGGCAAUAGAGAAAACAAUGCCCGAAACCACACACCGGUGGUGCAAGUGGCACAUACUUAAGAAGGCAAAAGAGAAACUUGGUACAUACUACACAAAGCGAAGCAACUUCAGAGCAGAAUUCCAUAAAAUUGUCAAUCACAUGUUGACAGAAGAUGAAUUUGAAAAUGCAUGGAGAGAGCUGCUUGAUAAAUACAGUUUACAAAAAACCCGUACAUGGCAAGCAUAUAUGAAGUACGUCAGAAGUGGGCAAAACCAUAAUUCUGGGGCAAAUUUUGUGCAAAGAUGA
rnacentral:rRNA from 1 species